rnacentral:rRNA from 1 species
GCUGCGAGUCCUUUUAAAUAUAUAGAACUGUACUUCUCAUGCUUGAAAAGCGUGACGAUGCUAGUUUGAAGACUGUUCGUGUGGCCAGUCGGCGACCUGUUUGGAAACUGUGACUAUAUGAAGAAGUGUUCGAUUCGCGGUAUGAUUGGCUUCGGCUGGACUACGUUUAUUGGAUGUUUUUUCGGUUAUGGUAGUACGAACGGGUGAACCGUAGCUAUGCAUGUGACUGGUUUUCUUACCUGUGUUGUUGCUGCGAAGUAAAGCGUCAACUUCGGUUGUUGAGGGUCAACCUAUUUGGGAAAUGUGAAGUAAAGCUUCGGCUGCACUUUACCUCAAACGGACCUGAUAUUAGGCAAGAUUACCCGCUGAACUUAAGCAUAUCAAUAAGCGGAGGA